ACAAAUCAUUUAUUCUCCUGUCAAUCACUAAACAUCUUCUCCAUAAAAAAAUCAAUUUCUCUCUUAUCCUAACAUUUCUCCCUCUUUCAAAACUCUAAAUCGAACCUAAGAAUUUUAUGAGUAUAUAUCUCUUCUCCUGAAGCUUUAGUGGCAAAAUCUCACAUUGAAACAGAGGAGGAACAAAUCAUGGAUCUGGAUUUUUUAAAGACUCGCCACCACCUCCUGUGGUUUUCGUUGAAAAAAACAACCGCAUUAAUAUUUGCCAAGGCAUCACCAACAAAAACAACACUUGCUAGAAGUUGCAAUUUCAACACAAUGGCGAAAGCGAAGGCGAAAGCCAAGGCUAAUGCUUUUGCCAUUUAUGUUCCUCCACCAUUUGCUGCAUUUGUGUUUUUGGAGGCAAUGGAAUCCCUCAGCAUGAUAUGAUCAGUGGAGAUGAGGUUCUUGAUUUUUGUGGUUGGCGAAGCAGAUUUGUGGUAGGACAACGCUGAUGUGUUUGGACGCUAUUGUUGGUUCUUGAUUGCUGGAGAUGAGGCUGGGAUUUGGGUGGUCUUUAAAAGGAUUAUUUUAGGAUUUUUUAAUUUAUUAUUUUUAAUAUUAUGUGUUUUUCAAUAAUAUUUUUUUUGUUUUAAAAUGUAUUAAAAUAAUUUUUUAUAAUUUUUUUAUUUUUAAUAUCAAUACAUUAAUUAAUAUUAUUAAAAGUAUUAAAAAAUUAAUUUAAAUUUUUUAAAAAAUAAAUAUACUUUUAAAAAAUAAAAAUUAUCACAUUUCUGAAUAGGAUAUCAGAGAGGCUUUGCUAUCACGCAUGGUAGUGCAAGCCUAUGCGUUUUUAUCUUUUCUUUCUUUCUUUCUUCUUUUUUCUCACUCUGCAUGCCUGGAUAGUCCAAGCCUGGUGUAUUUUUUAACUUUUUUUCUCUUUUGUUUUUUUCUUUCCAAGGAAAAAUGGAGUGAUGACAUGACUUACAUGAA